rnacentral:rRNA from 1 species
GGCCCGCACAAGCGGUGGAGUAUGUGGUUUAAUUCGAAGCAACGCGCAGAACCUUACCCAGCCUUGACAUCUUCGGAAUCCCUGCGAAAUCAGGGAGUGCCUCCUUACGGAGGAAUCGAAUGACAGGUGCUGCAUGGCUGUCGUCAGCUCGUGUCGUGAGAUGUUCGGUUAAGUCCGGCAACGAGCGCAACCCCUAUCGUUAGUUGCUACCAGUUCGGCUGGGCACUCUAGCGAGACUCCCGGUGUUAAACCGGCGGAAGAUGGGGAUGACGUCAAGUCCUCAUGGCCCUUAUGGCUGGGGCUACACACGUACUACAAUGGUGACUACAGAGGGCAGCGAGACCGCAAGGUGGAGCCAAUCCCAAAAAGGUCGCCUCAGUUCGGAUUGGAGUCUGCAACUCGACUCCAUGAAGUUGGAAUCGCUAGUAAUCGCGGAU